rnacentral:rRNA from 1 species
GACGAACGCUGGCGGCGUGCUUAACACAUGCAAGUCGAACGGACAGACAGAGAGCUUGCUCUCUUGAAGUUAGUGGCGAACGGGUGAGUAACGCGUAAUCAACCUGCCCUUCAGAGGGGGAUAACAACGGGAAACCGUUGCUAAUACCGCGUACGAUUCAUGAACGGCAUCGUUUAUGAAUGAAAGGUGGCCUCUAUGUAUAAGCUAUCGCUGAAGGAGGGGAUUGCGUCUGAUUAGCUAGUUGGAGGGGUAACGGCCCGCCAAGGCAAUGAACAGUGGCCGGUCUGAGGGGAGGAACGGCCACAAUGGGCCUGAGACACGGCCCAAACUCCUACGGGAGGCAGCAGUGGGGAAUCUUCCGCAAUGGACGAAAGUCUGACGGAGCAACGCCGCGUGAGUGAUGAAGGUCUUCGGAUUGUAAAGCUCUGUUAAUCGGGACGAAAGAGUUCUGCGUGAAUAAUGCAGAAAAGUGACGGUACCGGAAUAGAAAGCCACGGCUAACUACGUGCCAGCCGCCGCAGUAA